rnacentral:rRNA from 1 species
UGAGUACGAGAUGCUACGGCGUCGAAGCAGUCUAUGUCAUACUUCCAAGAAAAGCUUGCACUGUCAUAAACAAAGAAUGCCUGUACCAUAACCGACACAGGUGGGUAGGUAGAGUAUACUAAGGGGCGCGAGAUAACUCUCUCUAAGGAACUCGGCAAAAUGACUCCGUAACUUCGGGAGAAGGAGUGCCUUAUUUUUAAGGUUGCAAUAACAAGAUCCAAGCAACUGUUUACCAAAAACACAGGUCUCCGCUAAGUCGUAAGACGAUGUAUGGGGGCUGACGCCUGCCCAGUGCCAGAAGGUUAAAGAAGUUGGUUAGCAUUCGCGAAGCUGAUAACUGAAGCCCUGGUGAACGGCGGCCGUAACAAUAACGGUCCUAAGGUAGCGAAAUUCCUUGUCGGGUAAGUUCCGACCCGCACGAAAGGCGUAAUGAUUUGGAUACUGUCUCGGAGAGGGGCUCGGUGAAAUAGACUUGUCUGUGUAGAUGCGGACUACCUGCACCUGGACAGAAAGACCCUAUGAAGCUUUACUGUAACUUGAGAUUGAAAUUGGACUUUAUUUGCGCAGUAUAGGUGGGAGGCGUUGAGAAUAAUCUUGCGGGAUUAUGGGAGCCAUCAGUGAGAUACCACUCUUGUAAUGUUAGAUUUCUAACUUUGUAUCAUUAUCUGGUCAAAGAGCAGUUUCAGGCGGGCAGUUUGACUGGGGCGGUCGCCUCCCAAAGGGUAACGGAGGCGCACAAAGGUUUCCUCUGAACGGGUAGAAAUCGUAUCUAGAGUGUAAAGGCAUAAGGAAGCUUGACUGUGAGACCUACAAGUCGAGCAGGGACGAAAGUCGGUCUUAGUGAUCUGACGGUGCUGAGUGGAAAGGCCGUCACUCAACGGAUAAAAGUUACUCUAGGAUAACAGGCUGAUCUCCCCCAAGAGUUCACAUCGACGGGGAGGUUUGGCACCUCGAUGUCGGCUCAUCGCAUCCUGGGGCGGUAGUACGUCCCAAGGGUUGGGCUGUUCGCCCAUGAAAGCGGUACGCGAGCUGGGUUCAGAACGUCGUGAGACAGUUCGGUCCAUAUCCGGUGUAGGCGUUAGAAUAUUGAAAGGAGCCUUCUCUAGUACGAGAGGACCGAGAAGGACAUACCUCUGGUGUACCAGUUAUCGUGCCAACGGUAAACGCUGGGUAGCUAUGUAUGGAGUGGAUAACCGCUGAAAGCAUCUAAGUGGGAAGCCCACCUUAAGAUAAG